rnacentral:lncRNA from 1 species
GCUGAAGAAACCAGAGAUGGAUACAAAUCCAGCAGACGAGAGCUUGGAAAGGUAGGAUCUCAGCAUUUGCUGCUACCCCCUGCACCGAGCACAGACCUAUUCUCACAGGACUUCUAUCUCUUCUCAUUUGUGUGAAUGACAAGCAAGGAAUUUUCAGCGACUAAAAGAAAGGAUAUUUCUAAGCUUUCGAACAGAGACAGUGCUAAUGAAAAGAGCCAUCUGAAGUUAUCAAAGCUACAGAGUGGGAAAGAAAAACUUUGUCAGAAGUAUCCAUCUACUGAGGACACGGAUGCAGUCACAGCUCAGAGCUACGUCUCCACUGCAGAAUUUCAGCAGCUCCUCAGGUAUACAGCCGAUUUGGGGAAGGAAUUAAAUAACACUAAUGCAAAACUCAGGAGAAUUAUGAAAAGCAGGCAGCAACUGAAGGACACUUCAGGCAAGACAGCACAGUGAAAUGCAUGGGCUCUGGUAACAGAGAUGGCCUGACUCUCCACACAGCUUAAAUCCAAAGUCCCGUCCCCAUCCCCCCCUUUAUUUUUUUCUAUUUCUGGAUAAGAGAAGCAGGAAUAUUAAUAAAGGUAUAUACCAUUGUUGCUUCUGGGUCUUUUCUCUGAGAGUUGCAGGUGCUUCUUUAACUCUGAGACGAAACGACCAGCCUUGCUAGAGUUCUGGGUAGGCAUCUCUACAAAUGCCUGAACGAUGACAUUUAUUCCUCUACCUUGUUUUGGGGCUGCUGUGAGACACAGAUGUGUAACCAAGAGAGCAGAUCACGAGCAACGGCAGCAUCCUGGGCCUGCUCCGUACCCUUCUCUCGAUCUGUGGCCCGACGGAGCCCAGUGCAACCCUCCGUCGCCGAGCACAGUCCAGCACACGGGUCAUUAGCCCUCCCUUCCCCGGACCGCUUUCUUUUGCUAGUGCAUCUGCUGCCAAUAUUAACGCUUAUUUCUCAACAAUUCUUGUUCCAGGCACCUGUUGCUUCCAAAAGAGGUUACUGUUGCCUUCAGAGGAAAAAAAAAAA